rnacentral:rRNA from 1 species
AUAAGACUAUUUAAAAAAUAAAAAUAAACAUUAUGCAAAGAUUAAGCCAUGUAUGUCCAAGUGCAAAUAAAUUAAAAGUGAAACCGCAAACGGCUCAUGAUAUCAGUUAUGGUUUAUAAGAUCGUUAACAGUUACUUAAUUAAGUGUGGUAAGUAUAGAGCUAAUAUAUGCAAUAUAAACGCGGACGUUUUGGAACAUGUAUUUUUAUUAGACUAAAACCCAGCGAUCAAAGACCGUUUUUUGGUUGAACUAUAAAUAACAUUCAGAUCGUAUGGUGUUGUACCGACGUCAGAUCUUUCAAAUGUCUGUCCUAUCAACUGAUGGUUGUAUUUAGGACUACCAUGGUUGCAACGAGUAACGGGGAUUCAGGGUUCGAUUCCAGAGAGGAUGUUUGAGAAAUGUCUACCACAUCAAAGGAACACAGCAGGCGCAUUUAUUACUCACUUGUGACGAAAAUAACAAUACAGUACUCAUUUUCGAGGCCUUGUAUUUGGAAUGAGUAUACUUAAAUCCGUGAGCAAGGACCUACUGGAGGGCAAGCGUUGUGCCAGCAGCCGCGGUAAUUUCAGCUCCAUUAGCGUAUAUUAAAAUUGUUACAGUUAAAACGUUCGUCGUUGAACUUGUGCUUCAUACGUGUAAUAAUACUUACAAUUGUGAUAUUUUCAAUGCCUUAUGUAUGUAUGCGUAUUACCAGUGGCGUUCUAUAUAAAAAUUAAUACUUGUAUUUUUUUAUAUAUUCCUCCUAUUGAAACCUACUUCAGUGCUCUUCAUCGAGUGUUGAUGUGGCCUGUACAAUUAAUUUGAACAAAUUAGAGUGCUUAAAGCAGGCUCAAAAUGGCUGAAUACUCUGUGCAUGGAAUAAUAAAAUAAGACCUCUGUUCUACUUUCAUUGGUUUUUAGAUCAAGAGGUAAUGAUUAAUAGAAGCAGUUUGGGGGCAUUAGUAUUACGACGCGAGAGGUGAAAUUCUUGGACCGUCGUAAGACUAACUUAAGCGAAAGCAUUUGCCAAAGAUGUUUUCAUUAAUCAAGAACGAAAGUUAGAGGUUCGAAGGCGAUCAGAUACCGCCCUAGUUCUAACCAUAAACGAUGCCAGCUAGCAAUUGGGUGUAGCUACUACUAUGGCUCUCUCAGUCGCUUCCCGGGAAACCAAAGCUUUUGGGCUCCGGGGGAAGUAUGGUUGCAAAGCUGAAACUUAAAGGAAUUGACGGAAGGGCACCACCAGGAGUGGAGCCUGCGGCUUAAUUUGACUCAACACGGGAAAACUUACCAGGUCCGAACAUAAGCGUGUAAGACAGAUUGAUAGCUCUUUCUCGAAUCUAUGGGUGGUGGUGCAUGGCCGUUCUUAGUUCGUGGAGUGAUUUGUCUGGUUAAUUCCGAUAACGAACGAGACUCAAAUAUAUUAAAUAGAUGCUUUCAGGAUUACGGUGUCGAAGCUUAUAUAGCCUUCAAUCAUGAAUGCAGUAAAAUGUACGAUUGUUUGAAUGUGUUUAUAUAAGUGGNAGGGGGUAUUAGUAUUACGACACGAGAGGUGGACCGUCCUAAGACUAACAUAAGCGAAAGCAUUUGCCAACGAUUCAAAAAAUUAUUAAUCAAAAAUGAAAGUU